rnacentral:tRNA from 1 species
GUCGCUGUAGUUUAGUGGUUAGAAUUCCACGUUGUGGCCGUGGAGACCCUGGAUCAAACCCGGGCAGCGACA